rnacentral:rRNA from 1 species
AGGGGUAUAGGGAGCUUGCUUUCUAGAGACCGGCGCACGGGUGCGUAACGCGUAUGCAAUCUACCUUUUGCAGAGGGAUAGCCCAGAGAAAUUUGGAUUAAUACCUCAUAGUAUAUAUGAAUGGCAUCAUUUAUAUAUUAAAGUCACAACGGCAAAAGAUGAGCAUGCGUCCCAUUAGCUAGAUGGUAAGGUAACGGCUUACCAUGGCUACGAUGGGUAGGGGUCCUGAGAGGGAGAUCCCCCACACUGGUACUGAGACACGGACCAGACUCCUACGGGAGGCAGCAGUGAGGAAUAUUGGACAAUGGGCGCAAGCCUGAUCCAGCCAUGCCGCGUGCAGGAUGACGGUCCUAUGGAUUGUAAACUGCUUUUGUACGGGAAGAAACCCUCCUACGUGUAGGAGCUUGACGGUACCGUAAGAAUAAGGAUCGGCUAACUCCGUGCCAGCAGCCGCGGUAAUACGGAGGAUCCAAGCGUUAUCCGGAAUCAUUGGGUUUAAAGGGUCCGUAGGCGGUUGAGUAAGUCAGUGGUGAAAGCCCAUCGCUCAACGGUGGAACGGCCAUUGAUACUGCUAGACUUGAAUUAUUAGGAAGUAACUAGAAUAUGUAGUGUAGCGGUGAAAUGCUUAGAGAUUACAUGGAAUACCAAUUGCGAAGGCAGGUUACUACUAAUGGAUUGACGCUGAUGGACGAAAGCGUGGGUAGCGAACAGGAUUAGAUACCCUGGUAGUCCACGCCGUAAACGAUGGAUACUAGCUGUUGGGCGCAAGUUCAGUG